CUAAUAGGAUGUGUAAAGGCGAAGGCAACCCUCUAUGUAUAAACUGACGUUGAGAGACGAAGGCUUGGGGAGCAAACAGGAUUAGAUACCCUAGUAGUCCAAGCAGAAAAUUAUGAAUGUUAUAUGUUAGCAAAGUUAUUAAAAGUUAGUGUAUAAAUGAAAGUGUAAGCAUUCCACCUUAAGAGUAAUGUGGCAACGCAGGAACUGAAAUCAUUAGACCGUUUCUGAAACCAGUAGUGAAGUAUGUUAUUUAAUUCGAUGAUCCUCGAAAAACCUUACCACAAUUUGAAUAACGUUUUUAUUGAACAGCUUCAAUAAAAGCAUUACAGGCGUUGCACGGCUGUCUAAAGCUAAUGUCGUGAGAUCUUGGUUAGUUCCAUUAAAUUAGCGUAACCCCCUUACUUUAUUUAUGGUUUUUUUUAUUAAAAAAGGAUAAUAAGGUGUCAAACUGCUACGGCGGUUUCGGUAAUAGGGAAGAAGACAAGUCAUCAUGACCUUAAUAUUGUGGGCUAUAGACGUGCCGCAUAUUUUUGUACAAAGAGAGUCAAAAAUGCGAAUUUUAGGUAAUCUCUAAAGCAGAAUAAAAAAU
rnacentral:rRNA from 1 species